UGGGGUGUAGCCCCGCCACGGGCGGGGCACAACGUUCGGGACGUGGGGGUCGGAGGUUCGAAUCCUCUCACCCCGA
rnacentral:tRNA from 1 species